GAAGCCCGAGUAAACGGCGGCCGUAACUAUAACGGUCCUAAGGUAGCGAAAUUCCUUGUCGGUUAAAUACCGACCUGCAUGAAUGGCGUAACGAGAUGGGAGCUGUCUCAACCAGAGAUUCAGUGAAAUUGUAGUGGAGGUGAAAAUUCCUCCUACCCGCGGCAAGACGGAAAGACCCCGUG
rnacentral:rRNA from 1 species